AAUAGUUUUAUGCCACAUCAGUACUCUUAUCCUGAAUUUCAGGAUUUUAUCCUGAAAAAAACAAAAUCCAAAUUAAAAUCAUCCUGAAAUUCAGGAUAAGAAUACUGAUGUAGCAUAAAACUAUU
rnacentral:pre_miRNA from 1 species